rnacentral:rRNA from 1 species
GCAGACUCCUACGGGAGGCAGCAGUGGGGAAUAUUGCACAAUGGGGGGAACCCUGAUGCAGCGACGCCGCGUGGGUGAAGGAGUAUUUCGGUAUGUAAAGCCCUAUCAGCAGGGAAGAACAAUGACGGUACCUGACUAAGAAGCACCGGCUAAAUACGUGCCAGCAGCCGCGGUAAUACGUAGGGGGCAAGCGUUAUCCGGAUUUACUGGGUGUAAAGGGGGCGCAGACGGCGAUGCAAGCCAGGAGUGAAAGCCCGGGGCCCAACCCCGGGACUGCUCUUGGAACUGCGUGGCUGGAGUGCAGGAGGGGCAGGCGGAAUUCCUGGUGUAGCGGUGAAAUGCGUAGAUAUCAGGAGGAACACCGGUGGCGAAGGCGGCCUGCUGGACUGCAACUGACGUUGAGGCCCGAAAGCGUGGGGAGCAAACAGGAUUAGAUACCCGCGUAAG